rfam:Gossypium raimondii Chr01_contig_682, whole genome shotgun sequence.
UGAUAAAAAUUUAUUCAUUUUAUACUAUUAAAAAUUGGCAUGGCUGAGGGAAUACUCAGAAAACGAAACAUGGCGUGUCACAUGUACCUUAUGCUGAAGUACAAUGACCAAUUUUUAACGAUAGAAUUGAAUGAUAUUUUUUACA